rnacentral:rRNA from 1 species
UAGGGAAUAUUGGACAAUGGGUGAGAGCCUGAUCCAGCCAUGCCGCGUGCAGGAAGAAGGCGUUAUGCGUUGUAAACUGCUUUUGCCAGGGGAUAAAAUGAGCAUGCGUGCUUAAUUGAAGGUACCUGGUGAAUAAGCCACGGCUAACUACGUGCCAGCAGCCGCGGUAAUACGUAGGUGGCAAGCGUUGUCCGGAUUUAUUGGGUUUAAAGGGUGCGUAGGUGGCCCUGUAAGUCAGUGGUGAAAUAUCUCAGCUUAACUGAGAGGGUGCCAUUGAUACUGCAGGGCUUGAGUACAGAUGAGGUAGGCGGAAUUGACGGUGUAGCGGUGAAAUGCAUAGAUAUCGUCAAGAACACCGAUAGCGAAGGCAGCUUACCAAGCUGUAACUGACACUGAGGCACGAAAGUGUGGGGAUCAAACAGGAUUAGAUACCCCAGUAGUCCCUGAGCGGGCUGGCAAGGCGCAU